rnacentral:rRNA from 1 species
AGAGUUUGAUCAUGGCUCAGGACGAACGCUGGCGGCGCGCUUAACACAUGCAAGUCGAGCGAGAACCAUGGCUUCGGCCAUGGGGACAGCGGCGAACGGGUGAGUAACACGUGAGUAAUCUGCCCUCGACACUGGGAUAGCCCGGGGAAACCCGGAUUAAUACCGGAUAGCCUCUGGAGCUCUUGGGCUCUCGAGAAAAGAUGGCUUCGGCUUUCGGUUGAGGAGGAGCUUGCGGCGGAUUAGCUUGUUGGUGGGGUAACGGCUCACCAAGGCGACGAUCCGUAGCUGGUCUGAGAGGACGAUCAGCCACACUGGGACUGAGACACGGCCCAGACUCCUACGGGAGGCAGCAGUGGGGAAUCUUGCGCAAUGGCCUAACGGCUGACGCAGCGACGCCGCGUGAGGGAUGACGCUCUUCGGAGUGUAAACCUCUUUUGCCCGGGACGAACUGCCAGUUUUCACUGGCUUGACGGUACCGGGUGAAUAAGCACCGGCUAACUCCGUGCCAGCAGCCGCGGUAAUUC